rnacentral:rRNA from 1 species
AGGUAAGCUACUAAGAGCGAAUGGUGGAUGCCUUGACUGGUAAAGGCGAUGAAGGACGUACUAGACUGCGAUAAGCUACGGGGAGCUGUCAAGAAGCUUUGAUCCGUAGAUUUCCGAAUGGGGCAACCCAAUGUAUAGAGAUAUACAUUACCUAUAUAGGAGCGAACGAGGGGAAUUGAAACAUCUUAGUACCCUCAGGAAAAGAAAUCAAUAGAGAUUGCGUCAGUAGCGGCGAGCGAAAGCGCAAGAGGGCAAACCCAGUGCUUGCACUGGGGGUUGUAGGACUGCAAUGUGCAAGAGGUGAGUUUAGCAGAACAUUCUGGAAAGUAUAGCCAUAGAGGGUGAUAGUCCCGUAUGCGAAAAACAAACUUUAGCUAGCAGUAUCCUGAGUAGGGCGGGACACGAGGAAUCCUGUCUGAAUCCGGGUCGACCACGAUCCAACCCUAAAUACUAAUACCAGAUCGAUAGUGCACAAGUACCGUGAGGGAAAGGUGAAAAGAACUGAGGUGAUCAGAGUGAAAUAGAACCUGAAACCAUUUGCUUACAAUCAUUCAGAGCACUAUGUAGCAAUACAGUGUGAUGGACUGCCUUUUGCAUAAUGAGCCUGCGAGUUGUGGUGUCUGGCAAGGUUAAGCAAACGCGAAGCCGUAGCGAAAGCGAGUCUGAAUAGGGCGCUUAGUCAGAUGCUGCAGACCCGAAACGAAGUGAUCUAUCCAUGAGCAAGUUGAAGCUAGUGUAAGAACUAGUGGAGGACUGAACCCAUAGGCGUUGAAAAGCCCCGGGAUGACUUGUGGAUAGGGGUGAAAGGCCAAUCAAACUUCGUGAUAGCUGGUUCUCUCCGAAAUAUAUUUAGGUAUAGCGUUGUGUCGUAAUAUAAGGGGGUAGAGCACUGAAUGGGCUAGGGCAUACACCAAUGUACCAAACCCUAUCAAACUCCGAAUACCUUAUAUGUAAUCACAGCAGUCAGGCGGCGAGUGAUAAAAUCCGUCGUCAAGAGGGAAACAACCCAGACUACCAGCUAAGGUCCCUAAAUCUUACUUAAGUGGAAAACGAUGUGAAGUUACUUAAACAACCAGGAGGUUGGCUUAGAAGCAGCCAUCCUUUAAAGAAAGCGUAAUAGCUCACUGGUCUAGUGAUUUUGCGCGGAAAAUAUAACGGGGCUAAAGUAAGUACCGAAGCUGUAGACUUGACUUUGUCAAGUGGUAGGAGAGCGUUCUAUUUGCGUCGAAGGUAUACCGGUAAGGAGUACUGGAGCGAAUAGAAGUGAGCAUGCAGGCAUGAGUAGCGAUAAUUAAUGUGAGAAUCAUUAACGCCGUAAACCCAAGGUUUCCUACGCGAUGCUCGUCAUCGUAGGGUUAGUCGGGUCCUAAGUCGAGUCCGAAAGGGGUAGACGAUGGCAAAUUGGUUAAUAUUCCAAUACCAACAUUAGUGUGCGAUGGAAGGACGCUUAGGGCUAAGGGGGCUAGCGGAUGGAAGUGCUAGUCUAAGGUCGUAGGAGGUUAUACAGGCAAAUCCGUAUAACAUACUCCGAGAACUGAAAGGCUUUUUGAAGUCUUCGGAUGGAUAGAAGAACCCCUGAUGCCGUCGAGCCAAGAAAAGUUUCUAAGUUUAGCUAAUGUUGCCCGUACCGUAAACCGACACAGGUGGGUGGGAUGAGUAUUCUAAGGCGCGUGGAAGAACUCUCUUUAAGGAACUCUGCAAAAUAGCACCGUAUCUUCGGUAUAAGGUGUGGUUAGCUUCGUACUAGGAUUUACUCCGAAAGCGAAGAAACUUACAACAAAGAGUCCCUCCCGACUGUUUACCAAAAACACAGCACUCUGCUAACUCGUAAGAGGAUGUAUAGGGUGUGACGCCUGCCCGGUGCUCGAAGGUUAAUUGAUGGGGUUAGCAUUAGCGAAGCUCUUGAUCGAAGCCCGAGUAAACGGCGGCCGUAACUAUAACGGUCCUAAGGUAGCGAAAUUCCUUGUCGGUUAAAUACCGACCUGCAUGAAUGGCGUAACGAGAUGGGAGCUGUCUCAAAGAGGGAUCCAGUGAAAUUGUAGUGGAGGUGAAAAUUCCUCCUACCCGCGGCAAGACGGAAAGACCCCGUGGACCUUUACUACAGCUUGACACUGCUAUUUGGAUAAGAAUGUGCAGGAUAGGUGGGAGGCUUUGAGUAUAUGACGCUAGUUGUAUAGGAGCCAUUGUUGAGAUACCACUCUUUCUUAUUUGGGUAGCUAACCAGCUUGAGUUAUCCUCAAGUGGGACAAUGUCUGGUGGGUAGUUUGACUGGGGCGGUCGCCUCCCAAAUAAUAACGGAGGCUUACAAAGGUUGGCUCAGAACGGUUGGAAAUCGUUCGUAGAGUAUAAAGGUAUAAGCCAGCUUAACUGCAAGACAUACAAGUCAAGCAGAGACGAAAGUCGGUCUUAGUGAUCCGGUGGUUCUGUGUGGAAGGGCCAUCGCUCAAAGGAUAAAAGGUACCCCGGGGAUAACAGGCUGAUCUCCCCCAAGAGCUCACAUCGACGGGGAGGUUUGGCACCUCGAUGUCGGCUCAUCGCAUCCUGGGGCUGGAGCAGGUCCCAAGGGUAUGGCUGUUCGCCAUUUAAAGCGGUACGCGAGCUGGGUUCAGAACGUCGUGAGACAGUUCGGUCCCUAUCUGCCGUGGGCGUAAGAAGAUUGAAGAGAUUUGACCCUAGUACGAGAGGACCGGGUUGAACAAACCACUGGUGUAGCUGUUGUUCUGCCAAGAGCAUCGCAGCGUAGCUAAGUUUGGAAAGGAUAAACGCUGAAAGCAUCUAAGCGUGAAGCCAACUCUAAGAUGAAUCUUCUCUAAGCUCUCUAGAAGACUACUAGUUUGAUAGGCUGGGUGUGUAAUGGAUGAAAGUCUUUUAGCUGACCAGUACUAAUAGAGCGUUUGGCUUAUCUUU